AACGAACGCUGGCGGCAUGCCUAACACAUGCAAGUCGAACGGGAUCCGGACUUCGGUUCGGUGAGAGUGGCGGACGGGUGAGUAACGCGUGGGAACCUGCCCAGUGGUGGGGGAUAACUGCGGGAAACUGCAGCUAAUACCGCAUGAGCCCGAGAGGGGAAAGAUUUAUCGCCAUUGGAGGGGCCCGCGUUCGAUUAGGUAGUUGGUGAGGUAACGGCUCACCAAGCCGACGAUCGAUAGCUGGUCUGAGAGGAUGAUCAGCCACACUGGGACUGAGAUACGGCCCAGACUCCUACGGGAGGCAGCAGUGGGGAAUAUUGGACAAUGGGGGCAACCCUGAUCCAGCAAUGCCGCGUGAGUGAUGAAGGCCUUCGGGUUGUAAAGCUCUUUUGCCAGGGACGAUGAUGACGGUACCUGGAGAAUAAGCCCCGGCUAACUUCGAGCCAGCCGCCGCCGUAAUAC
rnacentral:rRNA from 1 species